GGCUGCACGCUGGUGCAGUUGGUAGCACUGUUGCCUUCAGCAAGAAGGUCCUGGGUUCGAUUCCCAGCUGGGGGUCU